GGAGCAAUCCGUGUGACUGCGUACCUUUUGUAUAAUGGGUCAGCGACUUAUAUUCUGUAGCAAGGUUAACCGAAUAGGGGAGCCGAAGGGAAACCGAGUCUUAACUGGGCGUUAAGUUGCAGGGUAUAGACCCGAAACCCGGUGAUCUAGCCAUGGGCAGGUUGAAGGUUGGGUAACACUAACUGGAGGACCGAACCGACUAAUGUUGAAAAAUUAGCGGAUGACUUGUGGCUGGGGGUGAAAGGCCAAUCAAACCGGGAGAUAGCUGGUUCUCCCCGAAAGCUAUUUAGGUAGCGCCUCGUGAACUCAUCUGCGGGGGUAGAGCACUGUUUCGGCAAGGGGGUCAUCCCGACUUACCAACCCGAUGCAAACUGCGAAUACCGGAGAAUGUUAUCACGGGAGACACACGGCGGGUGCUAACGUCCGUCGUGAAGAGGGAAACAACCCAGACCGCCAGCUAAGGUCCCAAAGUCAUGGUUAAGUGGGAAACGAUGUGGGAAGGCCCAGACAGCCAGGAUGUUGGCUUAGAAGCAGCCAUCAUUUAAAGAAAGCGUAAUAGCUCACUGGUCGAGUCGGCCUGCGCGGAAGAUGUAACGGGGCUAAACCAUGCACCGAAGCUGCGGCAGCGACACUGUGUGUUGUUGGGUAGGGGAGCGUUCUGUAAGCCUGUGAAGGUGGCCUGUGAGGGUUGCUGGAGGUAUCAGAAGUGCGAAUGCUGACAUAAGUAACGAUAAAGCGGGUGAAAAGCCCGCUCGCCGGAAGACCAAGGGUUCCUGUCCAACGUUAAUCGGGGCAGGGUGAGUCGACCCCUAAGGCGAGGCCGAAAGGCGUAGUCGAUGGGAAACAGGUUAAUAUUCCUGUACUUGGUGUUACUGCGAAGGGGGGACGGAGAAGGCUAUGUUGGCCGGGCGACGGUUGUCCCGGUUUAAGCGUGUAGGCUGUUUUUCCAGGCAAAUCCGGAAAAUCAAGGCUGAGGCGUGAUGACGAGGCACUAAGGUGCUGAAGUAACAAAUGCCCUGCUUCCAGGAAAAGCCUCUAAGCAUCAGGUAACAUCAAAUCGUACCCCAAACCGACACAGGUGGUCAGGUAGAGAAUACCAAGGCGCUUGAGAGAACUCGGGUGAAGGAACUAGGCAAAAUGGUGCCGUAACUUCGGGAGAAGGCACGCUGAUAUGUAGGUGAAGUGAUUUACUCAUGGAGCUGAAAUCAGUCGAAGAUACCAGCUGGCUGCAACUGUUUAUUAAAAACACAGCACUGUGCAAACACGAAAGUGGACGUAUACGGUGUGACGCCUGCCCGGUGCCGGAAGGUUAAUUGAUGGGGUUAGCGGUAACGCGAAGCUCUUGAUCGAAGCCCCGGUAAACGGCGGCCGUAACUAUAACGGUCCUAAGGUAGCGAAAUUCCUUGUCGGGUAAGUUCCGACCUGCACGAAUGGCGUAAUGAUGGCCAGGCUGUCUCCACCCGAGACUCAGUGAAAUUGAACUCGCUGUGAAGAUGCAGUGUACCCGCGGCAAGACGGAAAGACCCCGUGAACCUUUACUAUAGCUUGACACUGAACAUUGAGCCUUGAUGUGUAGGAUAGGUGGGAGGCUUUGAAGUGUGGACGCCAGUCUGCAUGGAGCCGACCUUGAAAUACCACCCUUUAAUGUUUGAUGUUCUAACGUGGGCCCCUUAUCGGGGUUGCGGACAGUGUCUGGUGGGUAGUUUGACUGGGGCGGUCUCCUCCUAAAGAGUAACGGAGGAGCACGAAGGUUGGCUAAUCCUGGUCGGACAUCAGGAGGUUAGUGCAAUGGCAUAAGCCAGCUUGACUGCGAGCGUGACGGCGCGAGCAGGUGCGAAAGCAGGUCAUAGUGAUCCGGUGGUUCUGAAUGGAAGGGCCAUCGCUCAACGGAUAAAAGGUACUCCGGGGAUAACAGGCUGAUACCGCCCAAGAGUUCAUAUCGACGGCGGUGUUUGGCACCUCGAUGUCGGCUCAUCACAUCCUGGGGCUGAAGUAGGUCCCAAGGGUAUGGCUGUUCGCCAUUUAAAGUGGUACGCGAGCUGGGUUUAGAACGUCGUGAGACAGUUCGGUCCCUAUCUGCCGUGGGCGCUGGAGAACUGAGGGGGGCUGCUCCUAGUACGAGAGGACCGGAGUGGACGCAUCACUGGUGUUCGGGUUGUCAUGCCAAUGGCACUGCCCGGUAGCUAAAUGCGGAAGAGAUAAGUGCUGAAAGCAUCUAAGCACGAAACUUGCCCCGAGAUGAGUUCUCCCUGAGACUUUAAGUCUCCUGAAGGAACGUUGAAGACGACGACGUUGAUAGGCCGGGUGUGUAAGCGCAGCGAUGCGUUGAGCUAACCGGUACUAAUGAACCGUGAGGCUUAACCUU
rnacentral:rRNA from 1 species